rnacentral:lncRNA from 1 species
AGAAAGCCUGUACUGCUAGCCGGGCGUCCGAAUCAACUAAUGGCUCAUCGUGAUGGUGGGGUGAGGGCAAGCUCAUUUAAGUUUGGAAGGAGGCAGCAGCUGCCGUGAUUGGGUGCAAAUCUCUCACGGUUUCCUCAGCGCGGGGCACCUGCGGAGUGCAACGGCUGCGCCGUGCUCCGGCUGCUCACGUGCUCGGGUCACUUCUCAGCGAGGCGCGCAGCUGCACGGUCGGGCUCAGAAGUACCACUUGUGAAAUCUCACAAAGUUUUCCCUCCGUAUUUGUUCUGUGAAGCAGUUCUUAACCUGUGAGAGUGAGCCUCCUGGCAUCUCUGUCAGCCUUUACUGGAGAAAAGCACCUUGGGCACUCGGUGGGAGUUGUGUUGGUGUGUGCUGCGAGGAGGACGCCCGGGGGCUGACCGGAGGGCAUGGCUGGAAGCUGCUGCUGCAGAGCUGGUACCUGUCUGUUCUGCACUGCUGGGCCCAGGAGUUUCGUUUUCUGAAAUCUGCCACUCCUGGUGCUCUGGUUUGAAGGAAUGCAAACAAUGAAACCGUGAAACUACCAGUCCUAGACCAAGAAUUCUGGAAAGUUCUGUUCAAAUGAGUUUGAGUGGCCUUUAGGCUCCCGCAGGCUGAAAGCAGGGGAAACUAAAGCAUGGGACUACUAUGCAGAGAACAGUAGAAAUACAGUCCUCAGCUGUACAGUUUCGCAGUCGUGUUCUGCACCUGAAUAAACUACCCUUCAUAUUAGAAUAUCUGUCACACGCAGCUAGAAAGGAAUAUUUGCCUCUCGGAUGGCAGCAGAAUCUAAGCAAUGCCAUAAAGUUUUCUGCAGCCUUCCAACCUCACUGAAGUGCUGUUCAUCAGUGGCUUAAGCCUCAUCUACAAUGACUCUGCUUUAUGUCAUUUGAAUUUUUACAGGAGGUAUUUGUGCACCAGAUAGAAAAUUUCUGUUUGUUAUUCCUUGCUUAACUUUUGCUAGUCUCCAGGCUGACUUCCAAGUAAAAAACAAGCUACCAGCUGUUUGGACUUCCUGGGAUCUGUCCUUCUUUUCCGUUUGGAAAAUUUGUCCAGAUAGAUAGGAAUGACAAGGAGCAAGUACUGGAUGGCCCUGGGUGGUCUCUCCCAGAAGUGAAUUCCAGUCUUCUGAAUCUCUCAGGAUCUAGUAUACAGGCAUAAAAAUUCAAUAAUUGUCUUCUGAGAAAAGCAUCUCAAUUUAUAAAAGAAUGAUGGCUCACAAAUGAUGUGUGGUAAAU